UACAGAGGGUGCGAGCGUUGUUCGGAAUUAUUGGGCGUAAAGCGCUUGUAGGCGGCACGUCAAGUCGCGUGUGAAAUCCCCAGGCUUAACCUGGGAAGUGCGCGCGAAACUGACGAGCUUGAGUGCCGGAGAGGGUCGCGGAAUUCCCGGUGUAGAGGUGAAAUUCGUAGAUAUCGGGAGGAACACCAGUGGCGAAGGCGGCGACCUGGACGGACACUGACGCUGAGACGGCGAAAG
rnacentral:rRNA from 1 species